AGGCGAAACCCCUUCGGGGGUCGGGGCGGGGUGGUGCCCGCUUCCUGACGAUGCCAGCCGCAU
rnacentral:hammerhead_ribozyme from 1 species